rnacentral:tRNA from 1 species
GGGGAUUUAGCUCAAUGGUAGAGCGCUUGCCUAGCAAGCACAAGGCCCUGGGUUCAGUCCCCA